ACAUGCAGUCGAGCGCCCUGCUUGCAGGGAGCGGCGAACGGGUGAGUAACGCGNNNNNNCGUGCCCUUCUCUACGGGAUAGCCUCGGGAAACUGAGAGUAAUACCGUAUACGCCCUCCGGGGGAAAGAUUUAUCGGAGAAGGAUCGGCCCGCGUUGGAUUAGGUAGUUGGUGGGGUAAUGGCCUACCAAGCCGACGAUCCAUAGCUGGUUUGAGAGGAUGAUCAGCCACACUGGGACUGAGACACGGCCCAGACUCCUACGGGAGGCAGCAGUGGGGAAUCUUGGACAAUGGGCGAAAGCCUGAUCCAGCCAUGCCGCGUGAGUGACGAAGGCCCUAGGGUCGUAAAGCUCUUUCACCGGGGAAGAUAAUGACGGUACCCGGAGAAGAAACCCCGGCUAACUCCGUGCCAGCAGCCGCGGUAAUACGGAGGGGGUUAGCGUUGUUCGGAAUUACUGGGCGUAAAGCGCGCGUAGGCGGACUGUUAAGUCAGGGGUGAAAUCCCGGGGCUCAACCCCGGAACUGCCCUUGAUACUGGCAGUCUAGAGUUCUGGAGAGGUGAGUGGAAUUCCGGGUGUAGAGGUGAAAUUCGUAGAUAUUCGGAGGAACACCNGUGGCGAANGCGGCUCACUGGCCCNGAUNCUGACGCUGANGUGCGA
rnacentral:rRNA from 1 species